rnacentral:rRNA from 1 species
GAUGAACGCUAGCGGCUGGCUUAAUACAUGCAAGUCGAGGGGUAACAUGGGGUAGCAAUACUCUGAUGACGACCGGCAAACGGGUGCGGAACACGUACGCAACUUUCCCAAAACUGGUGAAUAGCCCUCCGAAAGGAGGAUUAAUACACCGUAACAUAUAGAGGUGGCAUCGCCUUUAUAUUAUAGCUCCGGCGGUUUUGGAUGGGCGUGCGCCUGAUUAGGUAGUUGGUGUGGUAACGGCUCACCAAGCCUACGAUCAGUAACUGGUGUGAGAGCACGACCAGUCACACGGGCACUGAGACACGGGCCCGACUCCUACGGGAGGCAGCAGUAAGGAAUAUUGGUCAAUGGACGAAAGUCUGAACCAGCCAUGCCGCGUGAAGGAUGAAGGCCCUCUGGGUUGUAAAGCCCUUUUCUUGGGGACGAUGAUGACGGUACCCAGGGAAUAAGCACCGGCUAACUCCGUG